CAGAAAUUGAAAGUAGAUCACUUUUUAAUUUUCUUUUUAAUAAUAUUAAACUGCUCAAGCUUUUCUAUGAAUGUUUCUGUACGGGAUCUCUGCUCCAUCUGAAGAUACAGUACGAGAACUGCCAACUGAUCUGAGAGUGGUUGGGCAUCUUAUCCCGGAGUUUACAGCCAAGCAUUGCUGUGCUCCUUUGGACACGUUUGUAUGAAUAAUCCAUAUGUGAAGUCCAGAGUA